rnacentral:tRNA from 2 species
GCUGGCAUGGCUCAAUGGUAGAGCAGCUGACUUGUAAUCAGCAGGUUGUAGGUUCGAGUCCUAUUGCCAGCUCCA